GACGAACCGUCCGAACGUUAUUCGGAAUCACUGGGCUUAAAGGGUGCGUAGGCGGCGCGGAAAGUUGGGUGUGAAAUCCCUCGGCUCAACCGAGGAACUGCGCCCAAAACUACCGUGCUCGAGGGAGAUAGAGGUGAGCGGAACUUAGGGUGGAGCGGUGAAAUGCGUUGAUAUCCUAAGGAACACCGGUGGCGAAAGCGGCUCACUGGAUCUCUUCUGACGCUGAUGCACGAAAGCUAGGGUAGCGAACGGG
rnacentral:rRNA from 1 species